rnacentral:rRNA from 1 species
AUUGAACGCUGGCGGCAGGCCUAACACAUGCAAGUCGAACGAGUGGCGGACGGGUGAGUAACGUCUGGGAAACUGCCUGAUGGAGGGGGAUAACUACUGGAAACGGUAGCUAAUACCGCAUACCAUUGGAUGUGGCCAGAUUGGAUUAGCUAGUAGGUGGGGUAACGGCUCACCGAGGCGACGAUCCCUAGAGGGUCUGAGAGGAGGACCAGCCAAACGGGAACUGAGCCACGGCCCGGACUCCUACGGGGGGCAGCAGUGGGGAAUAUUGCACAUUGGGCGCAAUCCUGAUGCAGCCAUGCCGCUUGUGUGAAGAAGGCCUUCGGUUUGUAAAGCACUUUCAGCGGGGAGGCGUUACCCGCAGAAGAAGCACCGGCUAACUCCGUGCCAGCCGCCGCGGUAAUAC